rnacentral:rRNA from 1 species
CUGAGUACGGCGGAACACGUGAAAUUCCGUCGGAAUCCGGGAGGACCAUCUCCCAAGGCUAAAUACUCCCUAGUGACCGAUAGUGAACCAGUACCGUGAGGGAAAGGUGAAAAGCACCCCGGAAGGGGAGUGAAACAGUUCCUGAAACCGUGUGCCUACAAGUAGUUAGAGCCCGUUAAUGGGUGAUAGCGUGCCUUUUGUAGAAUGAACCGGCGAGUUACGAUUUGUUGCAAGGUUAAGCGGAAAAAGCGGAGCCGUAGCGAAAGCGAGUCUGAAUAGGGCGCAUAAGUAACAGGUCGUAGACCCGAAACCAGGUGAUCUACCCAUGUCCAGGAUGAAGGUAAGGUAAUACUUACUGGAGGUCCGAACCCACGCACGUUGAAAAGUGCGGGGAUGAGGUGUGGGUAGCGGAGAAAUUCCAAUCGAACUUGGAGAUAGCUGGUUCUCUCCGAAAUAGCUUUAGGGCUAGCCUCGAGGUAAAGAGUCAUGGAGGUAGAGCACUGUUUGGACUAGGGGCCCUUCUCGGGUUACCGAAUUCAGAUAAACUCCGAAUGCCAUGUACUUAUACUCGGGAGUCAGACUGCGAGUGAUAAGAUCCGUAGUCGAAAGGGAAACAGCCCAGACCACCAGUUAAGGUCCCCAAAUAUAUGUUAAGUGGAAAAGGAUGUGGGGUUGCUUAGACAACCAGGAUGUUGGCUUAGAAGCAGCCACCAUUGAAAGAGUGCGUAAUAGCUCACUGGUCGAGUGACCCCGCGCCGAAAAUGUACCGGGGCUAAACAUAUUACCGAAACUGUGGAUGAACCUCUUUAGAGGUUCGUGGUAGGAGAGCGUUCUAAGGGCGGUGAAGUCAGACCGGAAGGACUGGUGGAGCGCUUAGAAGUGAGAAUGCCGGUAUGAGUAGCGAAAGAAGGGUGAGAAUCCCUUCCACCGAAUAUCUAAGGUUUCCUGAGGAAGGCUCGUCCGCUCAGGGUUAGUCGGGACCUAAGCCGAGGCCGAUAGGCGUAGGCGAUGGACAACAGGUAGAGAUUCCUGUACCAGUGCUAAUUGUUUAACCGAUGGGGUGACACAGAAGGAUAGGGAAUCGCACGAAUGGAAAUGUGCGUCCAAGCAGUGAGUGUGAGAAGUAGGCAAAUCCGCUUCUCGCGAAGCAUGAGCUGUGAUGGGGAAGGAAAUUAAGUACGGAAGUUCCUGAUUUCACGCUGUCAAGAAAAGCCUCUAGGAAGAGUAGUACUGCCCGUACCGCAAACCGACACAGGUAGAUGAGGAGAGAAUCCUAAGGUGAGCGAGAGAACUCUCGUUAAGGAACUCGGCAAAAUGACCCCGUAACUUCGGGAGAAGGGGUGCUCUAUUAGGGUGCAAGCCCGAGAGAGCCGCAGUGAAUAGGCCCAGGCGACUGUUUAGCAAAAACACAGGUCUCUGCAAAACCGUAAGGUGACGUAUAGGGGCUGACGCCUGCCCGGUGCUGGAAGGUUAAGAGGAGUGCUUAGCUUCGGCGAAGGUACGAAUUGAAGCCCCAGUAAACGGCGGCCGUAACUAUAACGGUCCUAAGGUAGCGAAAUUCCUUGUCGGGUAAGUUCCGACCCGCACGAAAGGCGCAACGAUCUGGGCACUGUCUCAACGAGAGACUCGGUGAAAUUAUAGUACCUGUGAAGAUGCAGGUUACCCGCGACAGGACGGAAAGACCCCGUGGAGCUUUACUGCAACCUGAUAUGGAAUGUUUGUACCGCUUGUACAGGAUAGGUAGGAGCCGAAGAGACGUGUGCGCUAGCAUACGAGGAGGCAAUGGUGGGAUACUACCCUGGCUGUAUGACCAUUCUAACCCGCCACGCUUAGCGCGUGGGGAGACAGUGUCAGGUGGGCAGUUUGACUGGGGCGGUCGCCUCCUAAAGAGUAACGGAGGCGCCCAAAGGUUCCCUCAGAAUGGAUGGAAAUCAUUCGCAGAGUGUAAAGGCACAAGGGAGCU